GACGAACGCUGGCGGCGUGCUUAACACAUGCAAGUCGAGCGGAAAGGCCCUUUGGGGUACUCGAGCGGCGAACGGGUGAGUAACACGUGAGUAAUCUGCCCUGUGCUUUGGGAUAGCCACCGGAAACGGUGAUUAAUACCGGAUAUGACGCGCUCUCGCAUGGGGGUGUGUGGAAAGUUUUUUCGGCGCAGGAUGUGCUCGCGGCCUAUCAGCUUGUUGGUGGGGUAAUGGCCUACCAAGGCUUCGACGGGUAGCCGGCCUGAGAGGGUGACCGGCCACACUGGGACUGAGACACGGCCCAGACUCCUACGGGAGGCAGCAGUGGGGAAUAUUGGACAAUGGGCGGAAGCCUGAUCCAGCAACGCCGCGUGAGGGAUGACGGCCUUCGGGUUGUAAACCUCUUUCAGCACCGACGAAGCGCCUUUUGAGGGUGGUGACGGUAGGUGCAGAAGAAGGACCGGCCAACUACGUGCCAGCCGCCGCCGUAACAC
rnacentral:rRNA from 1 species